GACUUGAAUACAUCACUUUAAUCUGAUCACUGGUUUGGAAAUGUUAGAUCACUCGUUACAGAAAUAAAGAGGUCAGGUUAGAGUAACGUAACGCGAUGCAGCCUUUAGUGCUUGAAUUAUACUGUAACAGUGCUGUCAUGUGUUACUCCUAACUGUGAUCACUUGAGAACAUUUGCCCAUUUCUUGCAAUUGUUUUAUGUUUUAUUGUCUUUUUACUGUUCAAGACUCUACCUGGCUGCACUGCAUUACAGUGAGAAGGCUGAUAGAGGACAAGCCAACACAUCAUCAGGAGAUCCUCUUUUCAAACUGAGCUUUCCAAAGUCCAGGAAGGGAGAGUGCAGAGCCAAACCCGUGAAGACAGGCAUGACAUUCUACUGCGGUGAUGCACUGUUGGACCUGAUCUCGAGAAGGUUCUCCAGGACCCUGACCCACAUGUGAACGAGGUGCUGAAACUCAUAAUCCCUGAAGAUCUCUCAGACCAUGCAGACAGGCAGCACAACUCUCACUCUCCGCCCCUGAGAGCCCCAGCACCAGCUUACAAAGCUUCUGUAGGCUAUAUAGGCUGAACACAAUUCAAUAUAAAGUCAGCACUGAAUGUUUACACCCAUGGCAACUAGAUACUUUAUUUGUUAUUAUUUUCUUAUUGAUAUUGAAGUUAAUAUAUAAAGUUAAACUGUUUCACUUCAGAUAUUUAUUUUCUUCUUCUUAUUUUUUCAUUCAUGUCAACACGUUUAAAAAUGUUUCUUACAAUAAAACAUUUUUCCUAACUGUUCUGUGUUUUCAUUGAUUGCUAUGUAAUUUUCAUGGUAAUAAGUAAAAGAUAAACUAUAAGCAAUGUAAGAUAGAGGAAUCAGUUAUGUACUUUUCAUCAUAACACUUUUGCGAUAAAUGAAUAGUAUUUAUGUGACUAAAAGCUUACUGCACUAUUCCCCUCAGACGUAAAGGUCCAUAGUCUGCUCAAUAAAUGUUCAGUGCAUUCUGCAGUGCAGAUACAGUCAGGCAGACAGGUUACAGGCCAGGAGGGUCCACCAUGCAUGAUGGUGGCUCAGGAUGCUGCUGUAGUCUUCGUGUAACCUAGAAAUUAUGAAAGGUAAGUGAGUGACAAUAGAUUACAGAAAAGAUAGACUGCAAAAUAACAACCAUGUUUGCCCAGUGUUCACACUUCAUUGUGGUAUUUCCAUACAGCAGAUAUUCUCAGGUUAUGUAGACAUUUGUUCAAAAUUGCCACAGGAACACCUGCUUUUAUGCAGAAUUUUUAUUAUUCAUUGUAAACUAUAAUCGCUAAUCACGUCGCUUUGUUUCUUUGGUGAUAUAUUUAAAGUUUAUAAACCGUUGUAACUGGUUAAAAAACAAUUCUACUGGUAGAGAGGUGAUGGGGGGCAACUGGCUUACUGAAAACUACAGUUGAAAAUUACUGGCAGUAGCUAAUUACAGGUCGUCACUGCAAAUAAGAACAGGUUCUCAAUCAACUUACCUGGCUACAUAAAGGUAAAUAAUAAUAUGGGGUUAUGCUUUUGUCUUGUAACGGCUGUUGCUAAAUUGCAUCCGCGUUACAACAACUGGACAGCAGUAAACACCAGCCGAGGUUUGGCUAGCUUUAUGAUGUAAACACUUGAGGCAGGAGAAGGGGGCUGUUAUUUGAAACAACGCGGGGCAGACGGCCAGUAAGCCCGUAAAACUUUACUUAGUCUGCAGUAACAUAAAAGUAAUGUCGAGGUAACAAAUUAACUA
rnacentral:lncRNA from 1 species